rnacentral:rRNA from 1 species
AAAGCUCAAAUUUGAAAUCUGGCAGCCUCAGGUUGUCCGAGUUGUAAUCUAUAGAAACGUUUUCCGCGCCGGCCCAUGUACAAGUCCCUUGGAACAGGGCGUCAUAGAGGGUGAGAAUCCCGUCCUUGACACGGACCACCGGUGCUUUGUGAUACGUUUUCAACGAGUCGAGUUGUUUGGGAAUGCAGCUCAAAAUGGGUGGUAAAUUCCAUCUAAAGCUAAAUAUUGGCGAGAGACCGAUAGCGAACAAGUACCGUGAGGGAAAGAUGAAAAGCACUUUGGAAAGAGAGUUAAACAGUAUGUGAAAUUGUUGAAAGGGAAACGAUUGAAGUCAGUCGUGUCUAUUGGACUCAGCCGGUUCUGCCGGUGUACUUCCUUUAGAUGGGGUCAACAUCAGUUUUGAUCGCUGGAAAAGGGCGGGAGGAAUGUAGCACUCUCGGGUGAACUUAUAGCCUUCCGUCGUAUACAGUGGUUGGGACUGAGGAACGCAGCAUGCCUUUAUGGCCGGGGUUCGCCCACGUACAUGCUUAGGAUGUUGACAUAAUGGCUUUAAACGACCCGUCUUG